rnacentral:lncRNA from 1 species
GGGCCUAAGUCCUGUGGUCUUGCAAACGGCAUAGGUGUAAUCAUCACAUCUUUCUCCUUCUGACUGUCAUGCUCAAAAGUUGAAAACCAAUGCUCUGCAGUCUUCAUAAGACGUGUGAACAUUGCAUAGGCAUCGUGUUCCAGAUAUUCGGGAUUCAAAAGAACUUUCAUUUCCUCACUUGGUUGUGCAGCUUCACUGGCAUGUGAAAAGGCUUGGUGGUCACAAUGGAGGAUAAAGACAAUGGGAGCUAAGAGUUCAUGCAUACCCUGUUUAUAAAGCAACUGCUCAUUUUCUCUGGCAUAGCAGAACAGAACAUCUGUAAGAAUCUUCCUCACAUUCUCUUGCUGGAAAUACUGCAUUUCAGGAAAAGUUCUUGUUACAUCUUGUUCAAUCAUUGCUCGAAGCUCUUUAUCCUGGAAAAAUUUAUUCCAAAGACU